UACGUAGGGGGCAAGCGUUAUCCGGAAUUACUGGGUGUAAAGGGAGCGUAGACGGUAAUGUAAGUCUGGAGUGAAAGGCGGGGGCCCAACCCCCGGACUGCUCUGGAAACUAUGUUACUAGAGUGCAGGAGAGGUAAGCGGAAUUCCUAGUGUAGCGGUGAAAUGCGUAGAUAUUAGGGGGAACACCAGUGGCGGAGGCGGCCUGCUGGGCUUUUACUGACGCUGAGGCUCGAAAGUGUGGGGAGCAAACAGG
rnacentral:rRNA from 1 species